UUAGGGUGGCAGCAGUGGGGAAUAUUGGACAAUGGGCGAAAGCCUGAUCCAGCCAUGCCGCGUGUGUGAAGAAGGCCUUCGGGUUGUAAAGCACUUUCAGUGGGGAAGAAAGCCUUGGGGCUAAUACCCUCGAGGAAGGACAUCACCCACAGAAGAAGCACCGGCUAACUCCGUGCCAGCAGCCGCGGUAAUACGGAGGGUGCGAGCGUUAAUCGGAAUUACUGGGCGUAAAGCGCGCGUAGGCGGUCUGAUAAGCCGGUUGUGAAAGCCCCGGGCUCAACCUGGGAACGGCAUCCGGAACUGUCAGGCUAGAGUGCAGGAGAGGAAGGUAGAAUUCCCGGUGUAGCGGUGAAAUGCGUAGAGAUCGGGAGGAAUACCAGUGGCGAAGGCGGCCUUCUGGACUGACACUGACGCUGAGGUGCGAAAGCGUGGGUAGCAAACAGGAUUAGAUACCCUGUAGUC
rnacentral:rRNA from 1 species